rnacentral:lncRNA from 1 species
UGAAAAUUUGAAUUCUGAUGGUGUUUUUGAAAAGAAAAUUGGAAACCGGGGGUCAAAACGUAAUUUGAAAAAUUUGUGCCACGUCAGCAGCCCGGUUAGCAGCCCCGGCCAAUUAGGAUGCGCCGCGUGGCAAGGAAACAUUGACACGGGACGGGCCACGUGGGCGAUCCGCGUGUGCGCGAUCGGACGGCCCAGAUUCGUUUCCGUGUGCACGGAGGGCCCAGAUUCAAUUAGGCACUGACGGCCCAGAUCGCAUCGCGAUGGACGGCCCAGAUUUAAUCUCAAAUGGAUCGGGAUCGAACGGUUCAGAUUUAAUAUUGAUGGACGG